AAGCGCUUGCAACCAGACUUGCACGCUGUUGAUCAUCCAGGCUUCUGUUUGGUGCACUCAACUGUGUUCAGGCCAGCAUCGGUUUUGGUGGUGGGAUAAAGGCCUUGGGAAUGUGGCUCCUCCGGGAGUGUUAUAGCCCAUUGUGUAAUACCCUGUGGUGGACUGAGGUUCGCGCAUCUGCAAGGAUGCUGGCGUAAUGGU
rnacentral:rRNA from 1 species